rnacentral:rRNA from 1 species
CGCGUAGGCGGCGUGAUAAGCCGGUUGUGAAAGCCCCGGGCUCAACCUGGGAACGGCAUCCGGAACUGUCAGGCUAGAGUGCAGGAGAGGAAGGUAGAAUUCCCGGUGUAGCGGUGAAAUGCGUAGAGAUCGGGAGGAAUACCAGUGGCGAAGGCGGCCUUCUGGACUGACACUGACGCUGAGGUGCGAAAGCGUGGGUAGCAAACA